UACGUAGGGGGCAAGCGUUGUCCGGAAUCACUGGGCGUAAAGCGCGCGCAGGCGGUCAUCUACGUCUGGGGUGAAAGCCCGGAGCUCAACUCCGGGACUGCCUUGGAUACGGGAUGACUUGAGGAUCGGAGAGGCAAGGGGAAUUCCACGUGUAGCGGUGAAAUGCGUAGAUAUCGGGAGGAACACCAGUGGCGAAGGCGGUUGCCUGGAGCUUUGCUGACGCUGAUGCGCGAAAGCGUGGGGAGCGAUCCGG
rnacentral:rRNA from 1 species